rnacentral:lncRNA from 1 species
UAUUAAUGUGUUAUUAUUAAUUUUUUUUUAGGAAGACUGACCCUGAGCUAACACCCGUGCCCAUCUUCCUCUGCUUUAUAUGUGGCUUGAUGAGCGGUGCCAGGAAAAGAUGCCUCUAAGAAGACAGAUCAGGCCAAGGACACAUGCUGGAGAGGAAGGAGCCCAGGAACAUGGUGAGCUGUCCAAGCCAGGAAGAAGAAACAGCCCUGAGCUUCUGUAGGAACAUCACAUUCUGGCCACCAGCGAUACUAAGAAGUGGACUCGGGGUCCUGUUUCCUUGGAAGCUGCCAAGUUAAGAUAAGCGUGGAAUGCUGUGUCCAAACCCCUUAGGGCCUGGUUUGGAAACCAAAGCUGCUUCCUUGUGUCAAAGUGACCCAUGGCCUCGGCGCCUCCAGGCAAGAGCUGCUGCACAUUCCCACUGAGGGACCCAGACAGCAGAGCUGCUCAAGUCUGGGAUGUGAGGAAACACAGUUUCCCAGGACACCGUAACUGACGCCCGUGAACGAAAGCAGUUGUUCCAGCUUCACUCCUUCUACCAACCCGCACCUGCGUCACGUUGAGUGGUCUGCCCGCUGGAUUCGCAGGGAACGCAGUUGCAUUUUUACCCAAAGGCAGUACAGACACAGUGAAAGCUUUUAAGAUCUCCAAGUCUUAAACACCUUUCGUCUCCAGAACCGGGCAUAAGCCUGGCACAAAAUGAACCGAAUUGGAGCCUCUCUCCCUGGAAACCAGGGUCUUCAUCUUUCACACACUCCCCUGCGUGAUGUUUGUGCGCACUACGGUUUGAGAACAGCUAAUCCAGACGGUGUGAUUUUUUUUUCUUUUCUAAGUUCUGCUCAUCUAAUAAAUCAACGGGAACGUAUUGAUUCACUGGUCCAUUCAGCCAACAUUUACUGAGGGCCAGGUACAGAGGUAACUACAGCGAAAAAGGCUCGGGGAGCUUACAGUUUUCCAGUAAACUCAUCUGUCAAGACCAUUUGCCCUGAUCUGAGAGAGAUUUUGUUUCACUUUUUUUAGACCAAAAGGAAGAAAAGUGGCAGCACACUUUCUGCCCAGCAGUCACAUUUGCUGAUAUUUACAGGCUCGGUUGUCUACAGGGGUUACUUCUCAGAGGAUGGGGUGCUGGGGAGUGGGAAGAGAAAUAUGCUUGAUUGUGCUGCCUCAGUUCUUAUUGUCCCCUCUAGUCUAGUCCACUCUCCACCUCCUGAACCCCAGCUGAUAGCUCAGUGU